rnacentral:rRNA from 1 species
AACACAUGCAAGUCGAACGGAGAGGCCUUUUCGGAGGUACUCGAGUGGUGAACGGGUGAGUAACACGUGGGUGAUCUGCCCUGCACUCUGGGAUAAGCCUGGGAAACUGGGUCUAAUACCGGAUAGGACCGCACUUUAGUGUGUGUGGUGGAAAGUUUUUUCGGUGUAGGAUGAGCCCGCGGCCUAUCAGCUUGUUGGUGGGGUAAUGGCCUACCAAGGCGGCGACGGGUAGCCGGACUGAGAGGUUGGUCGGCCACAUUGGGACUGAGAUACGGCCCAGACUCCUACGGGAGGCAGCAGUGGGGAAUAUUGCACAAUGGGCGCAAGCCUGAUGCAGCGACGCCGCGUGGGGGAUGACGGCCUUCGGGUUGUAAACUCCUUUCGCCAGGGACGAAGCGUUUUGUGACGGUACCUGGAGAAGAAGCACCGGCUAACUACGUGCCAGCAGCCGCGGUAAUACGUAGGGUGCAAGCGUUGUCCGGAAUUACUGGGCGUAAAGAGCUCGUAGGUGGUUUGUCGCGUCGUCUGUGAAAUUCCACAGCUUAACUGUGGGCGUGCAGGCGAUACGGGCAUAACUUGAGUACUGUAGGGGUAACUGGAAUUCCUGGUGUAGCGGUGAAAUGCGCAGAUAUCAGGAGGAACACCGAUGGCGAARGGCAGGGUUACUGGGCAGUUACUGACGCUGAGGAGCGAAGGCAUGGGUAGCAAACAGGAUUAGAUACYCUGUAGUCCAUGCCGUAAACGGUGGCCGCUAGGUGUAGGGGGC